rnacentral:lncRNA from 1 species
CUGGAAAAAACCAGCUGGGAUGGCAGAAAGACUCAGGUAGCCAGCCGUUGUGGGACAGGAUACCACAGGAGACAGUCGAAGAGUUACAGAGGAAAACUCAAAUGUGUUGCUGUUCUACCUACAAGUAUAGUGAAACUACCCAAGAUUACAUUUAAGCCAAAAGAAGUUAGAAAGGUGACUGGCCAUUAUACAAGACCUGGCAUAGUGGUCCAUUACUCAGAUCAGAAAUGUCAAAACAAGUCUCAUGGUUCAGAAAAGGAACUAACCUUGGAAGCAAGGAAAAUCCUGACCUUAACAACUGAGCACCAAGCACACUGCUUCUUAGCCAGAGAGAUCUUACAAAAUCUGCCACGGUUUCCAUAUAACUUAACAAAUCUUUUACUUUUUGAUUUUGAAGAUUUAAAAAAUUUAAUGAAUGUUUGGCUUGUGUGUAUGGUUUGUAUACUGUAUGCACGUCUGCUGCCUGAGAGGCCAGAAGAGGGAAUCCAACCCUACAGAAGUGAAAUGAAAAGC